rnacentral:rRNA from 1 species
GACGAACGCUGGCGGCGUGCUUAACACAUGCAAGUCGAACGGAAAGGCCCUGCUUUUGUGGGGUGCUCGAGUGGCGAACGGGUGAGUAACACGUGAGUAACCUGCCCUUGACUUUGGGAUAACUUCAGGAAACUGGGGCUAAUACCGGAUAGGAGCUCCUGCUGCCUGGUGGGGGUUGGAAAGUUUCGGCGGUUGGGGAUGGACUCGCGGCUUAUCAGCUUGUUGGUGGGGUAGUGGCUUACCAAGGCUUUGACGGGUAGCCGGCCUGAGAGGGUGGCCGGCCACAUUGGGACUGAGAUACGGCCCAGACUCCUACGGGAGGCAGCAGUGGGGAAUAUUGCACAAUGGGCGGAAGCCUGAUGCAGCAACGCCGCGUGCGGGAUGACGGCCCUCGGGUUGUAAACCGCUUUCGCCUGUGACGAAGCGUGAGUGACGGUAAUGGGUAAAGAAGCACCGGCUAACUACGUG